AUUGAACGCUGGCGGCAGGCUUUACACAUGCAAGUCGAACGGUAACAGGCCGCAAGGUGCUGACGAGUGGCGAACGGGUGAGUAAUGCAUCGGAACGUGCCCAGUCGUGGGGGAUAACUACUCGAAAGAGUAGCUAAUACCUCAUACGAUCUAUGGAUUAAAGCGGGGGACCGUAAGGCCUCGCGCGAUUGGAGCGGCCGAUGUCAGAGUAGGUAGUUGGGGGGGUAAAGGCUCACCAAGCCAACGAUCUGUAGCUGGUCUGAGAGGACGACCAGCCACACUGGGACUGAGACACGGCCCAGACUCCUACGGGAGGCAGCAGUGGGGAAUUUUGGACAAUGGGCGCAAGCCUGAUCCAGCAAUGCCGCGUGCAGGAAGAAGGCCUUCGGGUUGUAAACUGCUUUUGUACGGAACGAAACGGCUCUGGUUAAUACCCGGGGCUAAUGACGGUACCGUAAGAAUAAGCACCGGCUAACUACGUG
rnacentral:rRNA from 1 species